GUACAACAUAUUCUGAAACCUGUGACAUGCUGGUCAAAUUUACGGAUGAUACUGGUGUUCUGGAGGAGGGACUUGACACUGGAGGUCCAAGACGAGAGUUUUUAACUCUAUUAAUGAAACACCUUAAAGACCGGCCCAUUUUUGAUGGACCAGAAGGACAUCGAUUCUUGGCCUACAAUGCAAACGAUUGAGAAUGCUGCUUCAUUGGAUUCUCUGCACGAAUGUAUGAUGAGACACAGCACAAUGUUACAGACAGCAGGUUGUCUGAGACAAGUGGCUACUGUGGAGGAAAAGAGAGAAAUAGUUUCAGACUACCUCAAAUGGUAUGUUAUUGACCGCAACGCAUCUGUAAUUGACAGAUUCCGGGAGGGUCUUUCAACUCUGGAGUUUUUGACUGCACUACAGCAACACCCUACUUUGCUGACCCCUGUCUUGUGCCACUCUGAAAAGCCCCUUACUGCUUUUGACCUUGAGAUACUCUUCAAACCCGACCUCAGUCCUCCGGGGAGUAAUCGAAGACUUAAAGAAAAUCAAACCAUGGGCUACUGGGCAGACUAUCUCCUUGAUUGUGA
ensembl:processed_transcript